AUUGAACGCUGGCGGCAUGCCUUACACAUGCAAGUCGAACGGUAACGCGGGGCAACCUGGCGACGAGUGGCGAACGGGUGAGUAAAGUAUCGGAACGUGCCCAGUAGUGGGGGAUAGCCCGGCGAAAGCCGGAUUAAUACCGCAUGAGACCUGAGGGUGAAAGCGGGGGAUCGCAAGACCUCGCGCUAUUGGAGCGGCCGAUAUCAGAUUAGGUAGUUGGUGGGGUAAAGGCCUACCAAGCCGACGAUCUGUAGCUGGUCUGAGAGGACGACCAGCCACACUGGGACUGAGACACGGCCCAGACUCCUACGGGAGGCAGCAGUGGGGAAUUUUGGACAAUGGGCGCAAGCCUGAUCCAGCCAUGCCGCGUGCGGGAAGAAGGCCUUCGGGUUGUAAACCGCUUUUGUCAGGGAAGAAAUCUCCUGGGCUAAUACCUCGGGGGGAUGACGGUACCUGAAGAAUAAGCACCGGCUAACUACGUGCCAGCAGCCGCCGUAAUAC
rnacentral:rRNA from 1 species